UACGUAGGGUCCGAGCGUUGUCCGGAAUUACUGGGCGUAAAGAGCUCGUAGGUGGUUUGUCGCGUUGUUCGUGAAAACUCACAGCUCAACUGUGGGCGUGCGGGCGAUACGGGCAGACUGGAGUACUGCAGGGGAGACUGGAAUUCCUGGUGUAGCGGUGGAAUGCGCAGAUAUCAGGAGGAACACCGGUGGCGAAGGCGGGUCUCUGGGCAGUAACUGGCGCUGAGGAGCGAAAGCGUGGGGAGCGAACAGG
rnacentral:rRNA from 1 species